CUUCAGCGAGGUCGAUCAUGUCAUAGGGUUGAGUGGAAGCCUUCCUGGAGGAGGUGGUGACAGCUGACCUGUGCGGGAAGUGGGAGGCAGGAGACGGCAGGGAAAGCUGCUCCAGGCAGAGGUGAACACAGCCUGAGCAGGCUCAGGGGAGCUUAGCUCUGUGUGGUUGCCAUGGAGAGGGAGGGGUGGGUGGUUAGGGAGGCGGUCCAUGAUGGACAGGUUGGAGCGUCAGGUGAGGGAGGCUGGCUCCUAUCUGCCCUUGGGACAGGAUCUUCAGCUUUGUUAUAAAGGCUCCCGUCUGUACUACCCUCCCAGGGGCUGGAUGCGCUCCAAGCACUUUGCCUCUGUUAGCUCAUUUAACCAGCACACUGCUCAGAGGUGAGAGCUUUCGCCAGCCCAUUUUACAGAUGAGGAAACUGAAGCCUGGAGAGGCGUGAUCAGUUGUCUAAGGUCACCCAGCCAGUAAGGGGCACCCUAGUUAGUCAGCUCCAGGACUCCUGCUCCUAACCUGGGCUCUGCAUGGCCCUCCGGCAAGUCCCUUCCCCCGCAGCAGCUGGGCAGCCCGUGAACGCUAGAACAAGCCGUGGCUCUGUCAGGCCUGGGGACCCUGGCCGCAGGGAUUCAGGCCAAAGACCUGACAGCUUCUGGAAACGGGAGAGCAGGAGGGGAAGAGAGGGAAGAAAGGGACUCCGCCUCCCCAGAGACGCGGGGCGGGGAGCUCAACAGGAGGCAGCUGGAGAACCAGAGCCUUCCCAGGGGUGCUCGCAGCCACCCAGGAAGCGGCACCCUCAGCCGGCAGAGGGCUCGGAGCCCGCUCAGCCGAAUCCACUCCUGCUUCACUGCGCAAGCAAACUGCUGCUUCAGGAGUUAAGGAAGUCCUUGCUGUCCGGGACUUCCGGCAGCCAGCCCGGCGGGGACGGAGCGUGCUGGAGGAAGGCUCUGUGGCUGGCAGACUGCCUCUGUCUAGCUCUAGGGAGGAAACAGGCUUUAAGGGCCAAGAGGAAAAAUCCAUACGCUGGCACGGCAGGAAGCAAAGUUUCCACCAUUUUUGAACUGAUGAACUUAAAAAUAUACUAA
rnacentral:lncRNA from 1 species